GGCCGCUGGGACCCGGGACUCCGGCCGGUGAAGCGCAAGGAUGCUCUCCCUCCGAGCUGUGCUGGAAAGGUGCCUACAGAGCUGAGGCCUCUACUCCACUCUGCGACAACGUCAUUUCCAGAAGAUCCAUGUAAUGCCGCCACCAUUUUACCUUUCUCGAUCAGACUCCGAGCUCGCCGCCGGGCCUGUUGACUCCGCCGGUGCUGUUGGAGCCCCCAGAAGAAUGUGGGGAGGGGCUGAAGUUGCCUGAAUUGGAGGAGGAAGCUGGACUUCUCGAGACGGCGGGAAAUUUAACUGCCCUUGCUCCUCGACUGACAGACGUCUGAAAGAAGACAACGCUUUUUUCUUCCUUUCAGAUAGGUCAGAGCUUAAUAAAAGCAGCUUAUCAAAA